GGAGGAAAAGAAACCAACUGGGAUUACCUUAGUAACGGCGAGUGAAGCGGUAAAAGCUCAAAUUUGAAAUCUGGUACUUUCAGUGCCCGAGUUGUAAUUUGUAGAAUUUGUCUUUGAUUAGGUCCUUGUCUAUGUUCCUUGGAACAGGACGUCAUAGAGGGUGAGAAUCCCGUUUGGCGAGGAUACCUUUUCUCUGUAAGACUUUUUCGAAGAGUCGAGUUGUUUGGGAAUGCAGCUCAAAGUGGGUGGUAAAUUCCAUCUAAAGCUAAAUAUUGGCGAGAGACCGAUAGCGAACAAGUACAGUGAUGGAAAGAUGAAAAGAACUUUGAAAAGAGAGUGAAAAAGUACGUGAAAUUGUUGAAAGGGAAGGGCAUUUGAUCAGACAUGGUGUUUUUUGCAUGCACUCGCCUCUUGUGGGCUUGGGCCUCUCAAAAAUUUCACUGGGCCAACAUCAAUUCUGGCAGUAGGAUAAAUCAUUAAGAAUGUAGCUACCUCGGUAGUGUUAUAGCUUAUUGGAAUACUGCUAGCUGGGAUUGAGGACUGCGC
rnacentral:rRNA from 1 species